CCUUCACUGAGCGCACAAAUACAAUCGGCCAAUCAGAACAUAGGAUAUCCACUGUGCCCCGCCCUCUCGUGUCCCAGCCAGAAGAAUUAAAGAUAAAUGAAGGCCUUACGGGUGUAGAACGACAUGAGGGGUACGACCUCGUAACCAUGGCGAAGGACUGCUAAUAUCAAUGCAAAUGGAUUCACUGCUUGCAGGAAUUCAGCUGGACUGGAGGAAGCCCGAGUGCCACUCCAGAGGAGGAAUCGACUGAGGAGCCUACGCAUUUUCAUUCCCACAGUCCAGAAACUUAAAACCAAAAACUACAAAACCAGACAAAAAUAAACAGUUUAUGCAGCAUCUAUAUUCAGUCCUAAAAAUGGCUCAGGGGAAUAAAACCAGGGAGUGAAGUUCAAAGAGGGAAUGGAGAUCCAGUUCAAAAUGUAGAGGAUUUCUAUCUUUUACCCACAUAACAGCCACCAAAUGCUAUGCAAAUUUCAUACAUAAAAUAUAGUGAUUUUCUGCACCUGUGGUUUAACACUUAAAUGCAUACCUCAGGUCUUUAUCGAGCCGGGACGUCAUUCACUACCCUGCUCCUCAUUCACUUUUUAAAGAUAGACAUCAACCUUUUUAGUAUUCCUCAAUCAAUUCAUUAUUAACAAUAUAACAAGAAAAAAAAUCAUAACAUUUUUAAAAGAAU